UUCAUUGCCUUCCAUCACAUUUUUGUCAGUACUUUGUAAACAUAUAGCAUCAUCAAUUUCUCUUUCUCAACUUGUCUUUUUCACACUACAAACAAGACGACAAGUAUGAAGAACACAUUGCUGGUGUUAAUUUCAGCAACUGUUCUCAUACUGUAUAUUGUUUUGGUCAUAAUUCCAUCUCCUGGACAGAUAAGAUGUCUCUCCAUGUUUGUUUUUUCCAUAGACUCCAUGUCGCUGUUAAAUCGUGAUUUUGUGCCGAAGGUGAACAACAUCCAAGAAACCAACAGCAGAAGGAGAAACACAACAUAAACAAAAUACAUUUAAGUACUCUUUUUCUUUUAAAUAAGAUUUGUUUCCAGUACUUUUGUGAUUUACUAAAUAUAUAUUGUUUGCAAACACUGUAUUAAUACUAUUGUGUAUUUUUUUCUUGUCCUGAAGGGAAACAACAAAACGGAAUCAACAACAUUAAGCUAAGUGCUCUUUUUUUCUUCCAUUUUUUUAUAUUUCAUUUCUCACAAAUAUAACAUAUUACAUUAUUAAUGUUUUGUUUGCUGUAUGCUUAUUCUGUCAUCAAAUUAAUGAUUUUCUUUUUCUCUCCUUUUUUCUUUUUUUGUUGUUUUUUGACACCUGAUGAACACCAUGCAAAGAAGGAUGGCGGCAACCCCAAAGACAAAAGUUGGAUCAUCAAUAAGGGCUACCGCAAAGAUGGCAGUCGUUCAACCUGUGAAGAAUCAGCAUUCCAACACAGGAUUUGAGAAUUGGUCGCGGCAGAUGGCCACCCACCAUGAUCCGGGUUCUGCUCAAGGUUUCUGCCACAGGCAGUUUUUCCUUGCCACCGUUGCCAAGUGCUUGGUCAUGCUGGGAAUUGUAAUUAUAAUGGAGAUUGUUCAAACUGUUAUCACAGAACUUUAUGAUUACAACACUAUAUUAAACACUUUGUUAAUAUCUUA